GAUGAACGCUGGCGGCGUGCCUAAUACAUGCAAGUCGAGCGAACAGACGAGGAGCUUGCUCCUCUGACGUUAGCGGCGGACGAGUGAGUAACACGUGGAUAACCUACCUAUAAGACUGGGAUAACUUCGGGAAACCGGAGCUAAUACCGGAUAAUAUAUUGAACCGCAUGGUUCAAUAGUGAAAGACGGUUUUGCUGUCACUUAUAGAUGGAUCCGCGCCGCAUUAGCUAGUUGGUAAGGUAACGGCUUACCAAGGCAACGAUGCGUAGCCGACCUGAGAGGGUGAUCGGCCACACUGGAACUGCGACACGGUCCAGACUCCUACGGGAGGCAGCAGUAGGGAAUCUUCCGCAAUGGGCGAAAGCUUGACGGAGCAACGCCGCGUGAGUGAUGAAGGUCUUCGGAUCGUAAAACUCUGUUAUUAGGGAAGAACAAAUGUGUAAGUAACUAUGCACGUCUUGACGGUACCUAAUCAGAAAGCCACGGCUAACUACGUG
rnacentral:rRNA from 1 species